UCCAGAUGAGUGAGCUGACAGCAGCCAUGACUGUGGAGUGGACACAUAUGCUCCUGCCAUCCUCUGUGUUCAGCGUAAGCUGCAUGGAAACAUUGAAGGAGCACAAGUUCCCAGAGUUCCUGUUAUAACCAAGGUGCCACAUAUACUCAGUGUAACAUAAUGUUCACACAGCAGAGUGCCCUGACAACAGAAAAGCAAGAAGACAGCCGAGAGUGACUGAUCCUGAAAACACUUUGAGGGGGGAAAAAACACACCACACACACACAUACACACACAGCAUUGACAGCUGUCGGCUCUGAGCUGCUCCUGUAAAACAUACAGUAGAAAAACAGAAGCAGCAACAGAGACACGGAAGAGGUCGGCGGGAGGCGAAAGGCGCACAUUUACACGUAGAGAAAAGCUCGGAGCGGGGCGGCGCGGCGGAGCCACAGACACUUAAGUGGGAAGCCUGAGCACUCACCAGCGU